UACGUAGGGUGCAAGCGUUGUCCGGAAUUAUUGGGCGUAAAGAGCUCGUAGGCGGUCUGUCACGUCUGCUGUGAAAACUCGGGGCUUAACCCCGGGCCUGCAGUGGGUACGGGCAGACUAGAGUGCGGUAGGGGAGACUGGAAUUCCUGGUGUAGCGGUGAAAUGCGCAGAUAUCAGGAGGAACACCGAUGGCGAAGGCAGGUCUCUGGGCCGAUACUGACGCUGAGGAGCGAAAGCGUGGGGGAGCGAACAGG
rnacentral:rRNA from 1 species